UACGAGGGGGGCAAGCGUUGUUCGGAAUUAUUGGGCGUAAAGGGCGCGUAGGCGGUGCGGUAAGUCACCUGUGAAACCUCUAGGCUCAACCUAGAGCCUGCAGGCGAAACUGCCGUGCUUGAGGGUGGGAGAGGUGCGUGGAAUUCCGGGUGUAGUGGUGAAAUGCGUAGAGAUCCGGAGGAACCCCAGAGGCGAAGGCGGCGCCCUGGCUCGCAACUGACGCUCAGACACGACAGCAUGGGGAGCGAACGGG
rnacentral:rRNA from 1 species